rnacentral:misc_RNA from 1 species
CACCAAUCAAGCCUGGCUUGGUGUUGGGCCCCGGGGUGACCCGGACCCCAAUGUCCGCCGGCCGGACGACCCGGACCUCAGCGUUAUGGCACUGUAAAGUUCCGCUGAAGGGGAGGGGUCGACCGUGCCGUCAACAAAUUACUUCUAAAA